rnacentral:pre_miRNA from 1 species
GGGGGGAGGUCGGAUCCCGGGCUGUGUCCCCGCGCCCUGUGCUCCCGGGCCUGCAAUGUUGGAUUCGUGCUCCUGCCGCGCAGCUGCCU